rnacentral:rRNA from 1 species
UAAUUCGAAGCAACGCGAAGAACCUUACCAGGUCUUGACAUCCUCUGACAAUCCUAGAGAUAGGACUUUCCCCUUCGGGGGACAGAGUGACAGGUGGUGCAUGGUUGUCGUCAGCUCGUGUCGUGAGAUGUUGGGUUAAGUCCCGCAACGAGCGCAACCCUUAUUCUUAGUUGCCAGCAUUAAGUUGGGCACUCUAAGGAGACUGCCGGUGACAAACCGGAGGAAGGUGGGGAUGACGUCAAAUCAUCAUGCCCCUUAUGACCUGGGCUACACACGUGCUACAAUGGAUGGUACAAAGGGCUGCAAAACCGCGAGGUCAAGCCAAUCCCAUAAAACCAUUCUCAGUUCGGAUUGUAGGCUGCAACUCGCCUACAUGAAGCCGGAAUCGCUAGUAAUCGUGGAUCAGCAUGCCACGGUGAAUACGUUCCCGGGUCU